UCCAGACUCCUACGGGAGGCAGCAGUGGGGAAUAUUGCACAAUGGGGGAAACCCUGAUGCAGCAACGCCGCGUGAGUGAAGAAGUCCUUCGUGAUGUAAAGCUCUAUCAGCAGGGAAGAAAAUGACGGUACCUGAGUAAGAAGCCCCGGCUAACUACGUGCCAGCAGCCGCGGUAAUACGUAGGGAGCGAGCGUUGUCCGGAAUUACUGGGUGUAAAGGGAGCGUAGGCGGGAUUGCAAGUUGGAUGUGAAAACUGCGGGCUCAACCCGGAGCGUGCAUUCAAAACUGCGAUUCUUGAGUGAAGUAGAGGCAAGCGGAAUUCCUAGCGUAGCGGUGAAAUGCGUAGAUAUUAGGAGGAACACCAGUGGCGAAGGCGGCUUGCUGGGCUUUUACUGACGCUGAGGCUCGAAAGUGUGGGGAGCAAACAGGAUUAGAUACCCUUGUA
rnacentral:rRNA from 1 species